CGCCGGGCCCCGGCGGCGGGGGUGGCGGGGAGGGAGCUCCGCCUGCGGGACGAGGAGAGGAGGAGGAGAGGAGGAGGAGGAGGCCGCGCUCCCUCCCCGGUUCGAGUGGCGGCCGCAGGGUCUAAACCGAGCAAGGACUGGGAGAGCUUUACACGCGCCUGGCUCUGCUGUCUGCCACUGAAACUGGUGGAGGUCUUGAUAGAUACAGCUUGAGUGUGUUUGAGCAGGUAGCUCAUCAAUAUUUAUUUAUCUAUCCUUGUUAAGCAGCACCCGAAAACUAACUAGCUAAGUCCUUAAACAAAAAGCACCAAACUUACUUUGCUUGGAGUAGAAAACCAGUGGUGUGUUUGCUGCUGUUGCAGUAUUCGGAAUAAAGAAACUGAACAGCACUGUAUCCUCAGAGCCCCCUUGGACAUCUGUGCUAGAGACACGCUUUUAACAGCAGUCAUGGUUCUGUUGUGCUGAGGGCAUGAUAAAAGUUGAUGUAAAGGUAUUUCACCAGCAGAUUGAAAGGCUUUUAGUCUACUUGGCAGAUUUUUUUUCCCCUUACCUUUCACUUGUAUUUCAGCUCUGCAAACUAAAUACAAAGUAAAGAGAGUAGGUGGACGUUUGGACUUGUGUUGCUUACUGGUGGUCAACUUGUCUCAUUCUCGGGGAACAUGGUGAGAGCGAUAUAGUUUUCAAUUAAGUUUGAGACGGCUACUUAGGAAAAUCAUGGUAUUUCUGGCAGGUACCUAUCUGAUGAUUUUGCUUUUUGUCCUGUUUUUUCUCUUCUUUGUUGCCCUUGAGUCCUUCUGUGUCAGAAUUCAUGUGAGGUUCUCCUCUGUGUUCUCUCUGAAACUGGAAAAAAAACUAGCUUAAGUGAUUGUUUUUUAUAAAAACUCGUAAUUCAGCUUUAAAGCCCCUUGUUUGGACUGCAAUACCUGAAUCCAGCAAUAAUGCAAUUCUUAAUUUAAAAGUAUCCUGUUGGAUUCAAAGUCUGCUGGAAUUGGUAGAAAGAUUUCUGUGCUGAAUUUAAUGCUGCCUAACCUUACAUCUGCAGUGCUGGCUGGCACCUGGGGCGCGUCAUCUGUGUCACAGGGAGCCACAAGUGGUUCACCUGUUGCAACGGUUCACACCUGGCUUAAGAUGUGAAUCUAAAAUUUUAAAUCUAAAGUCCAUCUCACUUCUUAGUGUAUUUUUCUUAACAUACACUCAGUACAGCUGAAAUUGUAAUUUAAAAUGUAUCUUCUCAUAAAGUGGUAUUAUUGUGCUCUCAGUUUUUUACACCAACUUUUUUCCUCCAGUUUCUCGAGGUGCUUGUUCAGGAUUUAUUUCCUAAUUUUAUGAGUUUUUAAAAGCAAUGUUCAUACUGCUCCGAAUAUUGCUCUGUACUCAAGACCGUCUUUAGUUGUGUUGCUGCUGCUGAUAGGAUCAGUCCCUGUAUCUUUGGUUUUGUUUCGAUCUAUGCAUAACCCAGAUUAAAGGCAGGACUUCGGUAGGGGAACAUUUUGCAUUGUAAAUGAGCACACUGCUCAUGAUUUAAGUGCUAAUAGAACGAUGAAGACAUUUGCUAAUCUGAGUAAAAAUGCACUAGGGCAGUAGGAGGAAGUAGAGCUAGGUGGCCCCAAGUCUGUCAGUGUGUCUCUGUGGUGGAGAUCAGCUGAAGUUGGUUUGGGGGAGCAGAUUGUUGUUGUUCUAGUCAAAACCUUAACAGUUCCGUUGACAUCAGUCGGGUUUGAACUUAAGUUUUUCAGCAAGUCUUCAAAUUUUGUAGCGUUUUUGGAAAGCAGGAGAGGAGAGUCCCUAAUCCAAAGAGCAAUUUGCUCAUUCCUUCCUGCAGUGCACCUUACCCGCUGCCCCAGGGCAGCUUCUGGGAUCGCCAAAGCUGUCGGGGGCUUCUCAUCAGUGCACGUCCUGGGCACUGUUUCCGCAUGGGUACCUCUGUAGUAAAAUGCCAGUCUGUAUCAACACUGUAAAUCCAUUUUAUUAGCACAGCUGACGCUUCUGACGCUUUGGCUUCUGAUUUAUCUUGGUGACAAGGCUUGGUGGGAAGCGCGACAGCUGCGGGAGCUUCUUGCUGGAUGAAUAAACGUUGUUCAUCUGAUGGUUGCCUGUCUCUUCGUCCAGGGUUACCAUCCCUGCUAGAAUUUGUCUCACGCUUGGUCCAAACCUCGCUUGUUGUCAAAGCAAGGAGAAGUGGUGCCCAGGAUAAGCCCUCACGUUAGGGUUGUUCUGGUAUCCUGAUGUUGGUUACAAAAGUGGAAACUUCGUGUUUUUACACCUAGUGAGCAAAGCUUUAUCAUCAGCUACUGAGUAGCUGUAAUUUACAGCAGCAAAGCAAACAGAACAAAAACCCCAAAUCCUUUUGCUUGUAGAACAUAUGUCCUCAAAGGAAAUGGUUUAACCAUAGGUAGAAGAAUUUGUUAGGAGUCCCAUUUCCAUCAGGAGUUGUUGGCGUAACCGAACUGACACAGCUUCUGCCAUGCAGAUUAGCCCUUUUCCUGCUGCCUUUGCCUUCGUCCCAGAUGAGCCUGAUGCAUCAGCCCUGUCUGCUUUUAACUGGGAGAGUUGAAGAGGGACCGUGCCUUCCUGGCUGGAGUGACAUUUCUAGAGUAGCACAACUGUAAAGCUACGGUAAUGUGUACUUGCAUGUUUUGUUCUCCCUGGGGGAGGAGAUUGAAACUGCAACUGCACAGAGUGCAUUUUUCAAGCCUAUGCAGUUGAGGUUUCUGUCAAGAACAGUCGUGAUACUGGCAUUGACUUGAGUGCAGUUGACAAAGUGUUAAAAAGUAUUUGGGGGUGAAACAAUAAUCGGCAGCUACCAUCGGUUGGCAACCCUGUUUCGCCUGUCUGGAACAUGUAUUUCUUGUGUGGAGCUUGAAGACUGACAUACAUAGCACCAGCUGCGAGAAAAGGUGAUCCUGUCAAUGUGGUGCCUUUGACAACUCAAAGCAGACUUAAGGAAAAAAAAAGUCUUUUUGUUUUAAGUUUGUUUAGGUUUGCUUGAAAGAAUCAGAAAUAGGGGUGUGGGUUGUCCUUGUGCUGUGGUUGUGAGGAUCGGGGUUUGCUUGCUCUGCUUUCUGGCUGUGUCUAGGUCUGUUCAGUUCUUCUUCUGUCCAGAGGACCCCAAACUGCUGGAAUUACUUUGUUUUCUGAGAUUCAGCCUCUGGGAUUUUAUGUGUAGCAGAGAAUAUGUGUGUGAUGCCAAGAAAUGCAUCACGGGUGGGCACUGGGGGGAUCAGAAGUGGGCUACCUGGUGGAGUGUAUAGCUAUGGCAAAAUAAUUGUCUAAGGCUAGCACAGAUCUUUGCCUUCCUGCUGAUUGUACAGAAUUGCAGUCUCUUAAGAUUAUUUCCUCAGCUGGGGCUGUGUACUUUUCAAGACCCUUACUGUUCCCCUUAGCUAGGACACAGUUAAGCUUUCUCCCCGACCUCUCCACUGGAAGAAAGUGUUUUGGGGUGUGGUUUUUGCUUUUUACAUCCCUCUGUAUUUUAGUGUGUUCAAGUACCUCGAACUCUGUACCGUUGUCAGGCUGGUGCCAUCACCAGCCUGCAGACGAGGAUGAGACUCCCAGCAGAGGUGAUCCGCUGCCCCGCUGGGGCCAGCAGGACCUCCCGCAGCGCUUGUCUCUGGUCCCGAGGGCAGCUGAGAAAAGUAGGUUGGCACAUGUGGUACCUCAGUUCCUUUUUUCGGUUUCUAAAUGGAUCCAGGUGUGGAGGGUCUUAAAUUGGAAAAAGGUUUGCCACAACCAUUAUUACUGCCUAGAACACUCAUCUGUCUUUUGUGUUCCUGCUGGCUUUAGAAGGCAACUUUGUUACUUAGCUGUGAGUAAAUAAACUCAUUUAUGUGGACACAGUAUCUGGUUCUUUUUUACAUUUGAGCUUAACUUUUAGUGGUUCCUACCAUUAAGCUAGGCUGGGGAAGGAGAGCGAAUCUCACAGCAUUUUAUUAUUUCCGUUUCAGGCAGAUGCUUGAAGUUGGCAAGAAAGUCAUACAUAAGCUCUUCUGCGCUGGCUGGACUGAACACAAGUUAUCUUUGCAGAGAUGCAGGGAGGUGUCAUUUUAUAUGCUUUCAUUUUUACAUGUUAUCACUUGCAGGGCUGAUUUUCUUACAAAACAGGGGCUGAUCCUGGCCAGCAGAGAGAGGUUUCCCUGCAAAAACUGGACUGGACGUCAGGACUCCUGACUGUUAGUGCUCGUAGCGGUUUUACAACUAGCUAGUCUCAUGACAACUCUAUCUAGCAGAUCCAUCAAAGAAAAACACUUUCUACAAGUUGUCCUUCAUCUCAUCUGGUGGAAAAAGCAGUUACAAGCUGUCUGUGCAGUUGAGGUCUUCAUAAACGAUAGUCUAAUGAUGUUCCAUCUGAACCAUUUUCUCGCCAUUUGGUCUUAAUUUGAUUUAUAUUAAUUUAUUAAAAAGGUUACAAUUUCAAGAGUUUUAGGUAUAACAGGAUUGUUCUCUGAUUUUCCUCAUAUAUACAAUAUUUCUAUCACUUUGUCUUUCACCCUUGGACCCUCCCUGGCUAGAACAGACCCAUUUUGGAUUUGAAUGAAGUAGUGCAGAAGGUUCUGCAGUUAAACUAUGAGGGUGUGUGCUGGAUGAGACAGAUAAGGCAGAUACAUUCUCACAGUUACGGCAGGCUUUAUUUGCUUCUGGAACUGGAUUCUAAUCUCGCCUGUGCCAUAAACUCCCUGCUGAUCAGGUCGUGCUGUGAACUUGCACGGGGCCCCUAUCGGCUGUCCAGCUUGAAGCAGAAUGAAAAGUUGCUGGCGGGAGGAGUGUCCCGAGUCCUGCACAUCAGGGGUUGCUCUGCUGCAUGUUGUGCUCUCAGAGCUCAAGUUAGCUCUUGGUGCAUUCAGCUGCCUGGCUUUGUCUCGGGUCUCUGCGUGUAACACAGCGAGGCUGUUCUGUCCUAGGCUGGAUACUUCAAUAAAACAACCCUCCGAUUUGCAGCUGCUAGCAGGUAUGCUUUCAAAAAGGUGGCUACAAAGUUUAACGUACAGUUAGGGCUUGACCAAAGCAGUGCACGGAACAGCCGUUCCACCCAGUAAAGCAGGUCUGGGGCCGCACAGAAGGAGGCAUUUCACAGCUGCAGUCAUCUGUGCAGACAGAAACUGAUUUGGAGUUGCAGAAGUAACCAGGCUCCUGUUGUUUCAGUGUGUUUGGCUGGGUAACUCAGUCCGUGUGUUUGAUAGGUGCAUUUUGCCUGCAAAUUUACACUUUAGCAAUUUAAUUGAAGUACCAAAAUCAUUUAAGUACGUGACAUGAAUGGGAACUUGUAUUUUCAGGCUUACUUAUUGUAUUCAAAGUGGGGGUGAGAAAGCCUGUUUUGAUAAAGGAAUGAAAAAAUGUUUGCUAGAAGAAUGGCAAUUAAAAUUUAACCUAAUUCUCUUAUUGCAAUUAUGUAGAAAAACGUACCCAGCACCUCUUCACGGAUCUAAUGUAGUAUUUCAGUGCUGAGGAACUGUUCUGCAGUUAAUAGUAAACUUCGUCACCAAGCUGUUCUGCUGACUGGUUUGCUGCUGUGAAUGGGGCUGACAGCUCAGACAGCCUCAGCAGUUCAUAAAACUGUUUGCUGACCUCCAGGUUUUGCUUUUCUGAGGAGAAAAGGCUACUCCUUAAAGAGGAGCUGCUGCUCCUUACAAUGUCUCCCCAAACCACUGGUAGCAAUUUGUGGCAAGAUGAUGGGUUUAUAGUCAGAUGUUUUUUCUAGCUCUGCCCAAUUCUAUUCUCUUCCCCAUGCACACGGCUGACAUAUUCAAAAGAAGUCUAAUACUAAUACUCAGACUUUUCAGGUGUUCAGAGAAAUAGCAUGUAAGCUCUUGCAAAUGUAAUCUCACUUCUAGCCUGAAUCUAGCCAUCACAGCUUGUUAAUGAUGUUUCACGGGCUUGUCAGAAUUCCUAGGUUAUGUUACUGAGAUGUUGUGUUUCACCUGACACUGAAGCAAGUCCAGUAGACUAACCUGAUCUUGGAAAAGGUGACUACUAGUGGUUGCAUAGUAGUUCCUGAAAAUUCACGUAGAAAGUUGAAUGCUGAAAAAGCCCAGACCUCAUUCUCACAUGUACAAGUAAGUGGCAGUGUUCUGGAGAUGGUAAUCUAGAACACUCCAGAAGACAUUAAAAACCAUUGAAACAUUUACCUGGACUAAAAUUAAGAUGCUUUAACCUACACUAAUUCAUUCUUUGUAAUCUGUACUGUUAUUAAUCAGAUAACAAAAGGGGGAUAGCAUAGUUGCAGUGAAACUUUGUGAGCUUUAGUUUCUUGUUCUGCUACAGCUUCCCGUGACCUCAGAUAAAGUUCAACUAGUUCCUAAACUUUAUGCGCAUGCAACUGUACAAAUACUUUGUAGUGACAGGGAAAGAAUGUAACAUAAUUUAAAAAAAAAAAAAA